ensembl:lncRNA
GUUUAUUUGCAUGACGCACAAACAGACACAAUUGAAAGGUACACAUGUAUUGUGCAUGAAACGAAUUCAAACGUGCUGCAGAUGUGUGUCACAAGUUGAUCUGGCUGUAGGCUGUGGCACUUGGCCAGAGGUGGCGCUGGUUGAUUCGAGUCCAUGUUAGUGCACACAAAGUAAACUGCACGCUUUAGUUUUGAGCAUAAAACGCUGAAACCGGAGAAAUAAAACGUGCGAGGGGAACGAUAAUGACGACAAGAGUCUCCCGAUCGUUUAUUCUCGCUGUCCUGUGAACAACACCGGCGUGGUGUUAAUUGUUUGCUGUUUUCGCGAUCGUGUCGAGCAUGAGGCUAUCACCAGGUAAACUCGCGACAUUUUUAAACAUUUUGUUGUUCAACGGCAUCAAGACUGACGGAGUGUGUUUGAGAUAACCUCACAAGUGUCACGGAUGACAUAUUUGGCGUUUUUUUGCUGUUUUGUCGGUAGCAGCUCCUGAAACGCAAGACUGCCACACAUCUGUUCGACCAACGCCAGUUGAUCUAAACGCCAGUAGAUCUGGAACACCGGCAAGAGAAUAAGCUUGAAAAGGGUUUGUCUUUUCAUUCUUUCCCAACCUGGAAGCAACAUGAGGCAGCUCGUGUAUCGGAUGUUACCAAACGAAGGCGUCUAGUCUGGAUAGCAGCUGUGAGACGAGCUGAUAUCCAGUUCUCUUCCAUCUCCAAAUAUCUGUUGGUGCUCCAGACAUUUUCAUUCCGCAAACCAGCCUAUGAAAUGGAUGCAACACAUCGUGACUGGGUUCCAGCGCUACACAAGGGACCUGCUUCAAACAUACCACCAUGCCAAUCAGAUCACUUCUUCCAUGUGAGGGUGAAGAGGUGACCCUUCUGGAUAAGAUGGUGAAAGUUUGCUGCGUUUGUUAAACAGUGUGGUAGUAAAACCAGGGAAAAUGAAACUUGCGCCUGUUAAAUAUUCUUAAGUCUUUUGCUGUAUAAAUAGUGGUAUUUUUUUUUUUCAAAAGAUACAGUAAAUAAUGUUAGUAGUGUGUGAUAUCAUGUAAACACUGUCAUGAUUUUAUGUAAACAUUUUGUCAUUUGUAAACUAUAAAUGACAUGGAUUCUACACUGUAACUGAUGUGAUGUUCUAUAAAGUAGUUUUAAUUAAAAAAAAAAAAGGCAAAAAUUAGUUUGUUUCUUUAUUCAAUUUUUGAACAGUGGUACUCAGUCAGUACAUAUUCAGUAAAUGCAAAUUAUUUAUAUGGCAGUGCACUUCAGGCAUAAAUCUAGACCCCUAUAUAAAACAUUAUGGCAUUAUAG